UACGUAGGGGGCAAGCGUUAUCCGGAUUUACUGGGUGUAAAGGGGGCGCAGACGGCAAUGCAAGCCAGGAGUGAAAGCCCGGGGCCCAACCCCGGGACUGCUCUUGGAACUGCAUGGCUGGAGUACAGGAGGGGCAGGCGGAAUUCCUAGUGUAGCGGUGAAAUGCAUAGAUAUUAGGAGGAACACCAGUGGCGAAGGCGGUCUGCUGGACAGCAACUGACGCUGAGGCGCGAAAGCGUGGGGAGCAAACAGG
rnacentral:rRNA from 1 species